UGAUGUUGAUGAUGCUGAUGAUGAUGAUGCAGAUGAUGAUGAUGAUGAUGAUGAUGAUCAUCAUCAUCAUCAUCAUCAUCAUCAUCAUCAUCAUUA
rnacentral:pre_miRNA from 1 species